UAACUAGUUCUGGUGCCUCACCUUCAGGC
rnacentral:piRNA from 1 species